rnacentral:rRNA from 1 species
CCUACGGGAGGCAGCAGUGGGGAAUUUUGGGCAAUGGGCGAAAGCCUGACCCAGCGACGCCGCGUUGGGGAUGAAGUCCUUCGGGGCGUAAACCCAUGUUGUAGGGGAAGAAGAAAGUGACGGUACCCUACGAGAAAGCCCCGGCCAACUACGUGCCAGCAGCCGCGGUAAAACGUAGGGGGCGAGCGUUGUCCGGAAUUACUGGGCGUAAAGGGCAUGCAGGCGGUGCGCCAGGUCGGGGGUGUAAAGUUACGGCUCAACCGUGACCUUGCAAUCGAAACUGGCGCACUGGAGUGCGGGAGAGGGAAGUGGAAUUCCCGGUGUAGCGGUGAAAUGCGUAGAUAUCGGGAGGAACGCCAGUGGCGAAGGCGGCUUCCUGGCCCGCGACUGACGCUCAUGUGCGAAAGCCAGGGGAGCGAACCGGAUUAGAUACCCGGGUAGUCCUGGCCGUAAACGAUGGGUGCUAGGUGUCGGCGCGUCAAGCGUCUGUGCCGAAGUUAACGCGAUAAGCACCUCGCCUGGGGAGUACGGUCGCAAGGCUGAAACUCAAAUGAAUUGACGG